GACGAACGCUGGCGGCGUGCUUAACACAUGCAAGUCGAACGGAAAGGCCCUGCUUUUGUGGUGUUCUCGAUUGGCGAACGGGUGAGUAACACGUGUGUAACCUGCCCUUCUCUUUGGGAUAACUUCAGGAAACUGGGGCUACUCCCGGAUAGGAUCUCCUGCUCCAUGGUGGGCGUUGGAAAGUCUCGGCGGUUGGGGAUGGACUGGCGGCUUACCAGCUUGCUGGUGGGGUAGUGGCUUACCAAGGCUGGGACGGGUAGCCGGCCUGAGAGGGUGACCGGGGACAAUGGGACUGAGGGAGGGACCAGACGCGUACGGGAGGCAGCAGUGGGGAACAUUGCACAGUGGGCGGGAGCCUGAUGCGGAAGCGCUGCGGGCGGGAUGACGGCCUGCGGGGUGUGAACCGCAGUAGCCUGUGACGAAGCGGGAGUGACGGUAAUGGGUAAAGAAGCACCGGCUAACUACGUG
rnacentral:rRNA from 1 species